rnacentral:lncRNA from 1 species
ACUUCCUAGGCCACGCCACGCCGCUCCACCAGCUCAGGGAACCCCCUUGGCCGUGCAGACCUGCGCCACAGGGUCGUUUCCUCCCCUCCUUCCCUCGAAAGCGUAUGCAUUUCGUUGCCCCUGGAACUGGGGUCAUUUCAGGACCUCCCAAGGAGGGUCAGGAUGGUGGUAUUGGCCUUAGGGGACGCGGGCUCAGGUUGGCGGUUGAACCGCAUGUUCCUGUUUCAAACAAACCUAAAUGUAGGCCUGGAAGGCUGUGCACUGAAAUCCUAGUAUUAGGUUGGUGCAAAAUUAAUUGCGAUUUUUGCCAUUGUAGGUUGUCUGCAGAGUGAGAUUAUGGCGAAGCAUUUUAUUCUUUUUACAAACCUGCUUUUUCUCAGUUUUCCACAUUGGAUUUGCCAGCUACCUGCCUUUGCAGGACACCUCAGAAGUUACAGACUUGCCUGUGGAAAUGCAGAGAGCACCUGAGGUAUUUCCCGGACUCUCCAGUAGUAGCCUUGAAUGGCUGACCAACCGCAGUCACCUGCCAGAUCUUCUCAGAACCGGCCAGCCCACCAGCGACAGGCCCAUUAAGUGGCCUGGCCCAGCCCAGAUGGAAAACCCCCUCCACGUGACUUUCUAAAGAACAUGCAUGAAGACAAAACACCAGGUGCCUCAGGUGUGACACCCUGAGGACACAUCACCUGUACAGUAUCCUAACCCACCCAAGAUGACACAGUAAGGUAAAACCACAGUAGAGCCCAGGCCUGUUUGACUCUGAAGUCCAGGCUCCUUUCCAACUUAGUGCCCUAAAGGCCUGAUUGGGGUGGGGGUAGGCAGGAAGAUUCAAGCACUGAUUGUUUGUAGCCCAGGCUGGGAGGGCAACAGCUCUAGAAAAAAAGUCACUCACUGCUUUAACCAUCUUCCAGCUAACUGCAGUGAGGUGUACAGGGCCAUGGGGCUCUGGGAUGAACUCUUCCACCUCUACACCUUGUAAACAAGGAUUCCAGACACACCCUCCAAAUGGGAAUGGAGACACACGUUUGGCAGAGUUGGACAGUAACGCUGCUCUCCUAUCAGCCUGGACUUUGAGGGGAGUGGAAAACAUGAGUGUGGAGGUGCAGCAGUCCUGGUAUCCCCUGAAACCAGCCUGUGGGGGGAACAGUCUUCCCAGGGGAGCUGCUCAGGAUCGUCCUGGUCCCAUGCAUCAGGAAGAAAAGGGAACCUGAGAGCAGAGGGAAAAUGCAGAAAGUGGGGCAGGGAGACUGCUCCCUGAAACCCCCAUGGGCUGCUGGUCCAAGCAGAAAGUGUUGUCGGAGGGGGGAGAGGCAGGGUGAAAUGGGACAGGAAACGAGGACUUCCGAUGAGGAGGAGGAGGGGGCAGUGGGCUGCGGGUCUUGGGGACUGAACAGAAUGGGGUUUGCUAGACAGAGCUUUCGUCUACCCACUCCUGAAGUCCUGCUGGACCUCAGCUGGCCCUUGUGAACUGUUGAGGGGGAUAUAAACACAAAGGCCUGCAUUCCUGUGGGUGCACAAUCCUAAGAGACCAUGGACUGCCUGUGUGUGGUGGGAACAGGAAAAGGAGGCUGAGUGUAGCCCUGCUUGGAAUUUAGUGUCCACCACAGAUGUAUCCACUACCCAGGGCCAAAGACUCGGCAGCCUCAGAAGACUCAAUGGAAGCUGAGCACAGGACUAGAAAGGGUCAGGGCCCUCCUCUGUAUGUAGGGGUGGCACAUGGCCACUAGCUGGGUGAUGGGGCACUGAGAAAUUAAAUGUUUGACAUAAAAAUGUAAUCAGGACCCGAGAGGAGGUGGGUGGUGUAAUGAACAGCAUCCUAGAAGUCCGGUACAGAUUUCACGUGUCACCUUCUAGUUCCUUAUCUGAAAUUGAAAGGUGAGGUCAGGUGCAGUGGCUCAGGCCUGUAAUCCCAGCACUUAGGGAGGCUGAGGAGGGCAUAUCAUUGAGGUCAGGUGUUUGAGACCAGCCUGGCCAACAUGGUGAAACCUCUACUAAAAAUACGAAAAUUAGCCGGCUGUGCUGCACACGCCUGUCGUCCCAGCUACUUGGGAGGCUGAGGCAGGAGAAUCCCUUGAACCUGGGAGGCAGAGGCUGCAGUGAGCUGAGAUCACACCACUGCACUCAAGCCUGGGCAUCACAGCGAGACUUCUUAAAAAAAAAAAAAAA